rnacentral:other from 1 species
CUUUCCCUGCCUGGCUCGCCAAGGCCAAUAGAUCUUUGAACCGAUGCGCAAGCAUACGGAGCGAUCUUUGCAAUGUGGGCGUGAGCGUUUCGCAACCGCACAGUGGCAGCCUCGAGCUGUUCACUCCCUGCGCUGCUUAGUGCACCCGAAGCAUGGCGGCCGCUCCACCUUGAACCCGAGGGUUCAGGAUAAGGGCCUAGCGGCUAAGGCGGGGAAUUC